rnacentral:rRNA from 1 species
ACGUAGGUGGCAAGCGUUGUCCGGAAUAACUGGGCGUAAAGCGCACGUAGAUGGCAUAUCAAGCGAGGGGUGAAAGUCAGUGGCUUAACUUUUAUAAGGCUUUCGAACUGGAAGACUUGAGUGCAGGAGAGGAAAGUGGAAUUCCUAGUGUAGCGGUGAAAUGCGUAGAUAUUAGGAGGAACACCAGUGGCGAAGGCGACUUUCUGGACUGUAACUGACACUGAGGCACGAAAGCGUGGGGAGCAAACAG